rnacentral:rRNA from 1 species
AGAGUUUGAUCCUGGCUCAGGAUAAACGCUGGCGGCAUGCCUAAUACAUGCAAGUCGAACGAUGAAGAUGUAGCUUGCUACAUCGGAAGAGUGGCGAACGGGUGAGUAACACGUAGUUAACCUACCCAUUGGACUGGGACAACUUUUGGAAACGAAAGCUAAUACCGGAUAGGAAGAAAUUUUAAAGGAGCGUAUGCUCC